UACGGAGGGUGCGAGCGUUGUCCGGAAUCACUGGGCGUAAAGGGCUCGUAGGCGGCCCGGUAAGUAGGGGGUGAAAUCUUGCGGCUUAACCGCAAGGCUGCCUUCUAAACUGCCAGGCUCGAGCACAGUAGAGGCAGGUGGAAUUCCCGGUGUAGCGGUGGAAUGCGUAGAGAUCGGGAAGAACAUCGGUGGCGAAGGCGGCCUGCUGGGCUGUUGCUGACGCUGAGGCGCGACAGCGUGGGGAGCAAACAGG
rnacentral:rRNA from 1 species